rnacentral:rRNA from 1 species
AGAGUUUGAUCCUGGCUCAGGGUUAACGCUGGCGGCGUGCCUAACACAUGCAAGUCGAACGGUUCUAAGCGCGAGCUUAGGAUAGUGGCGAACGGGUGAGUAAAAGGUAGGAAUCUACCCCUUGGACGGAGAUAGCUACUGGAAACGGUAGGUAAACUUCGAUAAGCCCGAGAGGGGAAAGUGGUGAGACAGCCGAGGGAUGAGCCUACUCUCCAUCGGGUAGUUGGUGAGAUAAAAGCUUACCAAGCCGAUGACGGAUAACCGGUGUGAGAGCAUGAACGGUCACAAGGGCACUGAGAGACGGGCCCUACUCCUACGGGAGGCAGCAGUGGGGAAUCUUGGACAAUGGGCGAAAGCCUGAUCCAGCGACGCCGCGUGGAGGAAGAAGUCCUUCGGGAUGUAAACUUCUGAACUAGCCGAAUAAAAGGCCUGUGGACACACAGGAGAAGAAAGUAGGCUAGGAAAAGUCCCGGCUAACUACGUGCCAGCAGCCGCGGUAAGACGUAGGGGGCAAGCGUUACCCGGAAUUACUGGGCGUAAAGGGGGCGUAGGCGGUAAAAGAAGUCAUCUGUGAAAACCUAUUGCUCAACGAUAGGCUAGCGGAUGAAACUGAAUUACUUGAGGGCACCAGAGGUAGACGGAAUUACCCGAGUAGGGGUGAAAUCCGCAGAUACGGGUAGGAACGCCGGUGGAGAAGUCGGUCUACUGGGGUGCACCAGACGCUGAGGCCCGAAAGCUAGGGGAGCAAACCGGAUUAGAUACCCGGGUAGUCCUAGCCGUAAACGAUGCUCACUAGGUGUAGGGAGUGAUAAACUCUCUGUGCUGAAGCGAACGCGCUAAGUGAGCCGCCUGGGG